rnacentral:rRNA from 1 species
UACGUAGGGACCAAGCGUUGUUCGGAUUUACUGGGCGUAAAGGGCGCGUAGGCGGCUUAACAAGUCACUUGUGAAAUCUCCGGGCUUAACUCGGAACGGCCAAGUGAAACUGUCAAGCUAGAGUGCAGAAGGGGCAAUCGGAAUUCUUGGUGUAGCGGUGAAAUGCGUAGAUAUCAAGAGGAACACCUGAGGUGAAGACGGGUUGCUGGGCUGACACUGACGCUGGGGCGCGAAAGCCAGGGGAGCAAACGGG